rnacentral:lncRNA from 1 species
ACGCAUGUCAAAUAGGUUGUUCAAACUGGAUAUACGAAGUCAUAUUCAUCACUCAUAGAAAAUUGUCGUUGCAUUCAAUAUAUACAUAUAUACCCAUUGGGUUUUACAAAACUAUAAAUUAAUUCUAGGGCUGGAAAUUUAGUUACUGGGUCGGAGAAAUAAAAUCAAAAGGAUGGAUGAGGGCUUUCAAUCAAUUACCAUAAAGAUAAAGUAAUUCACAUACCAGAUUACUUUCAAACGCGAUGCAUGUUGGGUUUCGGGCACGUGUACGCAGCGGAAAAUAAAUAUUUUAUGCGAUUUAAACAACUUUAAAGCACAUAAACACAUGCCCGAUAAUUUAAAUCAAUUAAUUGCGUACAUUUGCGCUUCCAGCGAAAAUAAAAAUAACAUACAUGCUUAAUUACUUAAUCGAAAUUAAAUCAACUAGCAUGCUCGCGUUUAAAUCAAACAACAUGCUCGCAAUAAAAUUCUGAUUUCACAUAAGCUCAUAAAAUCAUACAAAACGAACAUGUAUUAUCAAUUUAAACCUAAUCGAAUCUAAGGAUAACAGAUUCGAAACUUUACCUCUCGAAGCGUGAGUUUGGCGCACUAAGCAAGACGAGAUUGCUACGGAAACCAAUCCGUACAAUCCGGGCAGCAGCGGUGGAGCGGCAGCAACGGCGAGACGGUCCGUGGCGGCGCGUGUAGCUCACGCGCGGUCUUCGGGCGGCGCGUGGGAUCGCGUGCGGCUUCGGCUCGUGUGCUGCUCCUCGAUUCUUCGAUCUUCGAUCUUCCUCCUCUCGGAUUUCACCUCGUAUACUUCGAUCUACUAAACACGUGGCACUAGACACGUAAUAGUUAGAAAAACGGAAGAAAAGAAAGAAGGAAAGAACUACCGAAAACAAUCGGCCAACGAAUGGCCGAUUCCGGCGAAACGGCGGCGUUGACGGCGGUGGUGGCCGCGGGAGAAAGAGGCCGAGAGAGAGAGGGGGACGGCUAGGGUUAGGGUUAGGUCUUGUGUGUUUGUGCAAGGCCUAUAAAUCAAGUAUUUAUAGUCCCUUGCAUAAAACCCUAAGGGGCUUAAGUUGGACUGGGCCCAACAGCUUAAGCUCGUUAGUUCCUUUACUUGCUCGUCUCUCUCAAUUCAAUGAUCGGAAAAUUGCAACGAUUACAUUUUCGGAAUCAUUAUAAUAUCCUCGUCAUUACGAGUGCCAACUCUCAUUUUCCAACUUUCCAAAAGUGGAAACCCUAGUUCAGUGCACUUUCUAAAUUUGGAAACUUCCCGAUUUAGAAAGUUCACUAACACGUUCGCCUAUUCUUUUCCUUUUCUUAUUCUCAUUCAUAAUUCCAAAUUACGAAUGUUGGAUCCAAUCAUAUUGACUUCCAAUCAUGCAAAGAUAAACUGUUUUAUCUCUGACCGUUUAUUCAAAGAUCUCAUGUGCACGAGCAGUGUGACCCUCGAUGGUUCAGGUGUAAGCUAGCCGUGGGCCCACAACCCUUUGUGGUCAAAACUCGUCCCUUAGAGUUACGAUUAAGAUGAAACUCAUUUCACCUUAAUCACCCAACGAAUCAAGAUUGGCGUCUAGCAACUACGCGUCAUGAUUCCCUAGAUACAAAUGAAGUGCCUGCAAGAACCUUCAGAUAUAGUUAACGUACAGUACGGUCCCUUCGAUACAUAUGUCCCGAUCGAACUAGAGGCAUUGGUUCAUCGAGACCUCUUUAUAUGUUCGAUGACGGUGCGAUCGUUCCAAGUGUUGUAAUCGUCACGUGCAUGACUUAGAGAAUCGAAUUCUCUAAUCAUCACUUAGUCAGCUCUGGCCAGAGACUUAGAAUGAUUACAAACUUUCAAAACACACAGGACAUCCAAGACUAUUCUAGCGAUCGAAUCCCCGACUACAAUGCACAGACCUCCCACUAGAUUUCAGACUGCACGAACACUGGCCCUUGGGAUGGUCCUCGGUGGAACUCAGGGACAGGUCACGAUACAGUUGGUCCUCUAGUGAAGUCACGGUGAUGUCUAGGUCAUAAGGACUAAUGGUGUACAACUAUACCAUAGAUAUCUCUACUCGAUUAUUGGGAACCACUUAGAGAUUUCUAGGGUGAGGGAGUUCAGUGAACUCGUCAACUUACGAGCACCCACUUAUGCAUGCCGAUAUCACAAUACCGUUUACUGAUGAGAUGCAGUACACAUACACUAAGUGCUAGUCUUAAUGGGAAAGGCCGAUAUCCUCAUUGGUGGCGUAACCCUUCGACUAGGAACACAUUUAACAGUUAUAAUACUUAAGUAAAUAUCUCACGAUCCUAACGAUCAAUUACUAGUACUUGUAAUAACUGUAAGGACUAUAUCUAUGCUUGUGACAAAGGGACAAAGAUAUAGAAUGCCAAGGUGUUUUAUCAUUAAUACGAAUAAAGGUUCGUUUAUUACAAUAAUAAAUACGAAAGACCACAGCCACAUGUUGGCUUGUUGGUCACCUACUCUAACAAUGCAGCCUCUUCUCCUUCUCGUCGUUGUAGCUUCUUCUCAUGCUCGUCGCUUUUGGGAGAAGAAAAUGACCAGUAGCUAGGUUUUUUCUGUAAAAUUGAAGUAGCAUUAAUUUAGUUUAGGAAGAGGGGAUUUUAAUUUUUCUAAUUCUUUUCCUUGGAGAACGGAAAGAGGGAAUUAUGCUGUGCGAAAUUAGUAGAAAUUGUCGGCUAAGAUUUUAGAUGGAUUAGUGUCGCUAUAAGUUUUGAAAAUAAGAAAAUAAAAUUCAAGUGUUCUAAUAAUUUAUAUAUGAGGCAUUUAUAAAAUAUGUCUCUAAAAUAUAAAUGACCCUAUAGGUCUCGUAAAUAAGAAAAAAAUAUCAAAUGUCCCAAUAAAUAAUAUUUGAGGCAUUU